rnacentral:rRNA from 1 species
GACGAACGCUGGCGGCGUGCUUAACACAUGCAAGUCGAACGAAGUGGCGAACGGGUGAGUAAUGCGUAAUCAACCUGCCCUUCAGAGGGGGACAACAGUUGGAAACGACUGCUAAUCCCCCAUACCGAAGAGGGGGAUUGCGUGGGAUUAGGUAGUUGGAGGGGUAACGGCCCACCAAGGCGAUGAUCAGUAGCCGGUCUGGGGGGAUGAACGGCCAAAAUGGGACUGAGACACGGCCCAGACUCCUACGGGAGGCAGCAGUGGGGAAUCUUCCGCAAUGGAGGAAAGUCUGACGGAGCAACGCCGCGUGAGUGAUGACGGCCUUCGGGUUGUAAAGCUCUGUUAAUCGGGACGCGGUACCGGAAUAGAAAGCCACGGCUAACUACGUGCCAGCAGCCGCGGUAAUUC